rfam:Echinostoma caproni strain Egypt genome assembly, scaffold: ECPE_scaffold0004667
GCACUGCUGACGAGUCGUAAACAGGACGAAACAGCUGUCCAAUGC